CUUUUAUGGAGAGUUUGAUCCUGGCUCAGGACGAACGCUGGCGGCGUGCCUAAUACAUGCAAGUCGAACGGUCUAGAGGUGAGAGUUGAGAGGUGAGAAGUGAGCUGUCGUAGACAUCGGCAGAGCCGAUGUCACCUAAAUCCCACUUCCCAUUUCCCACCUCUCACUUCUAGACAGUGGCGGCCGGGUGAGUAAC
rnacentral:rRNA from 1 species